GAAAGCUUCAGGCAUACUUGGUGGGCCAAGGAACUCAUCUCCGACGGUUAUUUCUCCAGAUCAAUACAAGAAAAGGUUCAGGAAAGCAAUGACUACCUAUUUUCUAAUGGUCCCAGAUCAGUGGUCACCUCCCACUAUCAUUCCAAGUAAAUCCCAGUCAGAUUUGUUUGAAGAGAACUCACAAGGCGGGAAUUCAGUUGAAUGACACCGGGAGUCUGUAAGCUUGUACAUUUUACAUAUGCAUUUUGGGACAACAGUCCCACUUUAUUUUUCCCAUGUUCAUAUCUUUUUUCCUUAUAUUUUGAUUAUUUUUUUAGAGGAAUUAUAUGUUAGUUAAGAAUGAAAAGUCAUAAUUGUUUGUUAGGAGAAGCAGAAGAAGGCUGUUAAAGCCACAGGAAUUUCAGGAAG
rnacentral:misc_RNA from 1 species